rnacentral:lncRNA from 1 species
CAGCCCUCAACUUCCCGCCGUUAACUUUGCUCAGUUUCCUUCUCUUUCUGCAGCAAGCUCCUCACUUCCUUUCUCUGUAUUAUUCACUAUCUCACGCUCAAAACCCUUUAAAGGUAUAAAUUUUAGUAUGUGUUUUUACUGUCCAUAGGAUAUUUUCUGCAACAAAAAGUGACCUCAACUGCACUAAUUGAGUAAUUUUAUCUGUUUCUGGUUGGUCGUUGUGUUUAUAAUUGGAUUUUUAUUAAAUAGAUUUAAAAAUAUUUUGGUGUUCCUUUUUAAAAAAAAAUUCAGCUGAAAAAGGAGCUUGAUAUGGAGGAAGAAAAGGAAUUGAAGAAAGAGAAGAAAAACAUCCCUGUAUUGCCAUGGAUGAGAAAUCCAAUUGAUAUUACUACCUUUGACCAAUGCUCUCUCGAUUUUGUGCCUUUUCUUGACC